GUGGUGGCCACGGUCCAGGCUGGACACAACCAAAGGCGGAGGACCCGUGGCCCACGAAGCUCAUCUUUGAACUGUCCCCGCCUUCUCCCGCCUUGACUUGUGACCCUAGGCCCUUUGGGGCGCCUCUGACCCAGCUAGCCAGAUCCCGGACCCAAACCAUGUUCCCUGUGAAGGUGAAAGUGGAGAAAUCAGGCUGCCUGGGCCUGGCUCUGAGAUUGGCCAGGGCAGAGGACACGCACGCCCUUCCCUGGCCCAGUCAGCUGCCCACCUAGCUGGGGCCUGGGAGCUGACUCCUGCUGGGUCCUCUCUUGCCC
rnacentral:lncRNA from 1 species